rnacentral:rRNA from 1 species
UCCGUAGGCGGUCUUAUAAGUCAGUGGUGAAAUCUCCUAGCUCAACUAGGAAACUGCCAUUGAUACUGUAAGACUUGAAUUUUUGUGAAGUAACUAGAAUAUGUAGUGUAGCGGUGAAAUGCUUAGAUAUUACAUGGAAUACCAAUUGCGAAGGCAGGUUACUAACAAACGAUUGACGCUGAUGGACGAAAGCGUGGGGAGCGAACA